CCCGGUGGAGCGGCCCCGCCGACCCUCCGCUCCGCACCAGCGGGCAGCUCGGGCUGGGCUGGGCUGAGCCGCUCCGCAAGGCCACCCCUUCCAAUUCUCACCGCCCAGCGCCAGCACGUUGUUCCUGUAAAGUUGGAGGCGUGUCUUUAAAAACCGAGAAUUCCCCUCUCUCUUGCAGUAGCAGAAAAGUAUGCACCUCUCUCUCUGUUGUGGUGGGGAACAGCAGUGCUGAAUGAAGCACUGGCCUUUUCUGUUUCAUUUACCAGUGAGAGCCUUGGACAACAACUUGCUGAUUGCUGAGUGAAUUUGAGGAUAUGAAAAACCACAGCAUAGUGUAACAAUGAAGGAAUAGUACCAAGGUCUGACCUUGGUGCAUUUAUUCAUGUGCUUGAAGUUACACAUGUAUUUUGCUCUGUUUACCACAGUAACUAGCGUGAGGAAAUUAUCUACAGUGCAUCAUCUGAACGUGUCCAGUGUUUUGUGCAACUACACUCUCUAAGAAGAUGAUAACACAACGGGACUUCUGCCACAAGCACCUUUCUUUUGUGAUGUCACAAAUUUGUUGCAGGGUCUCCUCAUCAACGGCUUCCAGGCCCUGCCUGUGUUGGUUGUUAACGUCACCAAAAGAAGUAAGCUUGAUGGGGGGAUCCUGGUGACAGUGGGACCUGUGUCCAUUCAUUCCAUCAUCCUUCCACACCUCCAGGCAGAGCAUAACUGGGCAGCAUCCACCUGCUCCUUGGUUAACCUUCGAGAAGCGACGGGUGAUGUCAGGGCUUCUCUGCUUCAUGCCCUCCUCCAGUUCCCUAUCUGUGUAUUUCCAGUCCUGUAACUCUUCCCUUUCUAUCAUUUGUUGUUCAUUGCUGUUCAAUUUUUUCUCCUUGUUUUCAUUACCUAUAGCCCUCUCCCUCCCUAGGGGGCCUUCAAGGUUUUGCUAAUACAUACCUAAACAGAAAAACAAAUAGAAACAGCAGCAGUAAGAGAAACUAUUCAUAGAGUGCACGCAAGCUUGGCCUCCUUCUUCAAACCAUGUUCUUUGUACUCCCCUAACUUCCAUGGCUCUUAUGAAGAUAAAUCGUUGCUUAGUCC